UUUUGUAGUAAGUAGUAUUGCCCCAAACUGUAUCCCUUUAAUCUCCUUAUAUUAGUAUCAUACACUAUCUUUCCACUGAAUAUUUUGUAUUUACUUGUUAAGUAUUAAAAAAAAAUAAAAAAUGCAACCCAUACCUACCCACGUGCACCCCCCCCCUACCUCCUCCUUUUUCUUCCUCUUUUCUUCUCUUCCCCAUCGAAGCUUGCAACCCCUUUCUCUUCUUUUUCUCUUCUCUUCUCCAACGGCAACAAGCAACAAGCAACAAGCAACAAGCUUCCCCUUCCUUGCUGUCCUGCUUCUCGGUGGCACCAUCGGAGCUCGUUUGAGUUUGCCGGAACUCACCGAGCCACUAGCUAAGAGGGGAAAGCGAAGCCCUAAUUGCUACCCUGUUUUCUAACCAAGCACAGCAGUCGUCGAAGCUAGCUGUGGCCUUCGCCGAAGCUUGCCGAGACAACCGGUGAAAAGGAAAAAGCAACCCUAGUUGCUCUCUCCUUUUUCCCCCACCAACAACAACAUUUUACUGCCUUUUGUUUCUCCAACAGCAGCCCUAGCUGCUGUCCUUUUCUUGGCAACACCGCUGGAGUUCACCAGAGCUCGCCGGAGCUAGCUAAGAUGGCCAGCAGCGAAGGGAAAACAACCUUAGUUACUGCCCUCUUUUUCCAGCAACCACAGUAACCCAUAGAAGUUUUGCAGACACAAGGAUACUUUUGAUAUUAUAGUUAGUCCCGACUUUACAUAGAGUUGCUCAGAGAUCUCGACGUAUCGAUUCCUGGUUUGUUUUACUUUUGUCUCAUUGUAUUUACAUUUUGUAGUUCUAUUUCAAAUAUCGUCUAUUUGUAUAGUUUUAUGAUCUACAAAAACUAUGAUAUAUAUAAAUUGAUAAAUUUCCUAAUUAUUCUGUUUAAAUGGUUCUUAGGGUUUCUCAUAAUAUAUUGUCACCGAGUGGGGUACCGGGAACUAUACCCCAGGGAGUGACAUUACUACCCUUUACUUUUCUUUUGACCUCCAGGUUAGCAGAUAGAAGAAGUGUUUUGUCGCUCAGAGAUCCUGGCUGUCAGUCCCACUCGAGUUCAGAUUUCUGUUUGAGUUGUUUUAUUUUUCUGUUCCACUGUUGUUUAUUGUUUUCUUUCUCUCAUUGAAUCAAUGAGGUUUUGUUAUAAUAGUAUAAUUGUUAUCUUGCAUAGAUUAGUAUAUUCACAUGUCCAUGCAUUCAUACAUUAUCAUAUGCUUGUAGUAACUUAGUAAUUCUUUUAUAUUGUACUGGUAUUUGUGUUGGUUUUAAUUGGUUAGGUACUAAUUAUUUCUUGUAUUGUCACUAGAGGGUACUAUCCGAUUUUGCGGACAAAUAUACCCUUGAAAAUUAAUUUUGUUUGAACCCAAAAAAAUGAGCUUGGUAUUGGUGAUUAACUGAAGACAAAAAGAAAUAUGCAAGUGCGUAUGUAUAAUGUAUCUCUAAUCUGACCACAUAUUCAAGUAUGACUACAUAAUGACAUUACAUACAGCUUACACAAGGCUAUGAAAUAUUGCAUGGGCCCAAGUAUCAGAUAGACAAACUUCUCAAAAAAAAAAAAAAUUUCUUUUUCUAAACAUGAGAAACCAUAAAAAUUAAAAAUGAGAAUAAAAUGAACUUAUUGAAAAUUUUAAGAAAGAAA